UAUAAAAGAAAUGCACUUCUGCUCUGUUUCUCAACUCUGCUUUUUGUCCCACACAGGUAAGGGGGUGGCUCAAAUUGCAUAACCCAUUCGCUAAGAGGAUGAGUGACUGAGUCAUUUCACAAAGAGAGCUGACCCCUUAGUACUCUGAUCACAAAGCCUAGAGGUUGACAAUAACAUAUGUUUUGUAAAUGUAAUGCCAAACAAACAAAGAAGAGGAACUCCCUCUUGCUGAACGGGACUGCUGUUUUCUUCCUCCUUAUUACAGUUCCUUUAGGUGAAAGGCCCAUGGCAUGCUGUAUGACAACUCCUGUUCACAUGGGAAUUGGAGAACAAGGCCAGGUCUUGGAUAUGCCCAUAUGGCACUGACUAAACCAACAGUUGUUACAUAUUUGCAUCCAAAAGCAAUAUUUGGCUUCAUAUUUUGAAACCUUAUUGCAAACGGAGAACGUGAAUUUUCUGUUUGUUUUUUUAUCCCCAUGCUCUGUUCCCAGAGCAAUGCAAAGCUAAAAGAAUUUCAAGACGAGAGGCCUCAGUCUCUUCCCAUUCACCCAGCUGUUAAUCAGGAGUAAAUGGGGUUACACUGCUUUAAAAGUGUGAUGCUUCCCUGAAAAGUGAUAAGGUAAAAAUG
rnacentral:lncRNA from 1 species